rnacentral:rRNA from 1 species
GAUGAACGCUAGCGGCAGGCUUAACACAUGCAAGUCGAGGGGUAUAGUUCUUCGGAGCUAGAGACCGGCGCACGGGUGCGUAACGCGUAUGCAAUCUACCUUUUGCAGAGGGAUAGCCCAGAGAAAUUUGGAUUAAUACCUCAUAGUAUGUGAGAAUGGCAUCAUUUUCACAUUAAAGUCACAACGGCAAAAGAUGAGCAUGCGUCCCAUUAGCUUGUUGGUAAGGUAACGGCUUACAAAGGCAACGAUGGGUAGGGGUCCUGAGAGGGAGAUCCCCCACACUGGUACUGAGACACGGACCAGACUCCUACGGGAGGCAGCAGUGAGGAAUAUUGGACAAUGGGCGCAAGCUUGAUCCAGCCAUGCCGCGUGCAGGAUGACGGUCCUAUGGAUUGUAAACUGCUUUUGUACAGGAAGAAACACUGGUUCGUGAACCAGCUUGACGGUACUGUAAGAAUAAGGAUCGGCUAACUCCGUGCCAGCCGCCGCGGUAAGAC